rnacentral:rRNA from 1 species
AUUGAACGCUGGCGGCAUGCUUUACACAUGCAAGUCGAACGAGUAAGUGCUGUAGCAAUACAGAUUACUGCUAGUGGCAGACGGGUGAGUAAUACAUGGGAAUCUACCUUGAAGUCUGGGAUAACUGUUGGAAACGACAGCUAAUACCGGAUAUUGCCGAGAGGUGAAAGUUUUUCGCUUCAAGAUGAGCCCAUGCAAGAUUAGCUAGUUGGUAGGGUAAUGGCCUACCAAGGCGAAGAUCUUUAGCUGGUCUAAGAGGAUGAUCAGCCACACUGGAACUGAGAAGCGGUCCAGCCUCCAACGGGAGGAAGCAGGGGGGAAUAUUGGACAAUGGGCGAAAGCUUGACCCAGCGCCGCCGCGUGAGUAAUGAGGGCUUUCGGUUUGUAAAGCUCUUUCAGUAGGAAAGAUAAGGACGGUACCUAAAGAAAAAGCCCCGGCUAACUUCGUGCCAGCCGCCGCUGUAA